rnacentral:rRNA from 1 species
AUGCCUAUGGGACGCAGCAGUGAGGAAUAUUGGUCAAUGGGCGCGAGCCUGAACCAGCCAAGUAGCGUGAAGGAUGACUGCCCUACGGGUUGUAAACUUCUUUUAUAAAGGAAUAAAGUGAGGCACGUGUGCCUUUUUGUAUGUACUUUAUGAAUAAGGAUCGGCUAACUCCGUGCCAGCAGCCGCGGUAAUACGGAGGAUUCGAGCGUUAUCCGGAUUUAUUGGGUUUAAAGGGAGCGUAGCUGGGUUGUUAAGUCAGUUGUGACAGUUUGCGGCUCAACCGUAACAUUGCAAUUGAUACUGGC